rnacentral:lncRNA from 1 species
GUAAAGAAGAUGAGGUUUUUAAAGUCAAACAGUCAAAUCCGAUCAGAUGUGGAUAAUUACGAUCCCGUCCUUUAGAAUAAUUUGUUUAUUUAUUUUCCUUUCAUCUUUGGUAAAGAAAGAAAGAGAAAACUGAAGAAAGAGGAUAAUCCAAAAUUUCCAAGUAUUUAUGGUAGGUUCCGAAGUUAAGUAUAAUCAAAAAUACAAGUUUUAGCCACAAAAAUAUUGUUUUAAAUACAUUUUGAGUACCCCAUUCCCACGCCCACCACCAUUGUUUUGUUUGCAGCACAUAACUCUCUUCUUCUUCUUCUUCUCCUCCUCCUCCUCUUCUUCUUUUCCUCAAUGAUUCUUCAUUUCUUUCUUUCCCAAUCAUCCUCUUCUUUUCCCUUCUCUUUAAUUUCCCUCUUUUUGUUUCAAUAGCCUCCCAAUUUCUGUUUCACUUCAACUAUUUCACUACACCUCUCAGUAACAGGAACCAGAACUCUCCGCUCUCCCAUUUCAGCACCGCUGUUUUUUCCUUUGAUCGUCCUCGUUUUGAAGGGCUACUACUGGGAGUGAGUUUUUUUAAGACUUUUCUUUUCUGGGUGUUUGAGUUUCGUUGCUUUGAGCUUGAUUUUGAGGAGUUUGUGUUUGUUUGUUUUUUUUUUUUUUUGGUGUUUGUCUUCAUCUUGCUUGUUUCUUAUCUAUCACUCUCUCUGUUUUCAGUUGGAACCUAUCUUGAAUUUCCUAAUUUGUUUGAUUACAUGCAAAUUUGAGUGAUUUGGUUCUCAAAGUUUCGAUUUUUGUUUUUGUUUUCAUCUGGGGUUUGAUUUUUCUGAAACGUAAUAUAAUGUCUGGGGAGGAUCGUUUGACUUCGCUUGUUCAAUCCUGUUUUUCAUUUUCCCCAUUGUGGAGUGGUUUUCACCCUCUUUUUUUAGGGGCUGAUCGGACAUGUUAUAAGUCAACUUCGUUUUGUUUUGGUCGUAUGAGUUACGCCUCCACAAAAGUAGAAAGAAGAGCAAUAUUUUAUGUUUUGUAACAUGCUUUUGUCUUUUUAUAUUUCGUCUCAUGUCUCCCCUUGCGGUUUGAACCUGAGUUACAUUGUAUAGUGCUUUUAAAAUCCAGGUUACAUUUCCUUUUAGUUGAUGACGCUUUGAUCUAGCCACGAUUGGUCUCGCAUGUCUGAAAAUCUGUGUAUUGAGAAUAUACUAAAUUACUAAAUAUACUCUACUUUUAAGUUUAGCAAUGAGUUUUUGAUGCCAAGUAUUGUGUUUGAAUCUUUGCUACGGCAUUUUUUCUGUUGUUGAUGUUAAUAGUUCACCUGUUGAGUUUUCGUGAAUCAAAUUAGUAAUUAAGCCUACAUGUGACGAUUUGGUCUUGCUGUUAUUUAACAUUCUUGUACUAAAAUCCUAAGUGUAUGUGCACCAGGAAGUCUAGUAUACUUCUCAAUGUCCCUCGUCUCUGUCUGCUUGUGAACUUUUAAGAUGGAUAGAAGGACCUAUUUAUUUAGGUGUCAAUUAAGUUCGACUGUGGAUUACAGAACUUUCCCUGCAUUGUGUAUUUCCUCAGUCAUGACAGUUGACUGUGGAUAGUUUUCUUUUCUUCUUGACAGAAAAAUUUUCUGGGACAUUCUUUUUCUUUACAAGAAAAUAGUACAAAAUAUUAUUUUUAUCUCAUAUCUAGUAGAGAAGAGCAGAAAGUGAUGCAGAAUCAGCCUUCACAUAGUUCAUUUUCAGGUUCCUUUUGAAACCACAGCCACCAUUUCUGUAAAAUAAUGGUUAAAGUAAAGGAACGAAGUAAUAAUUUCCUUAUCCUGUGUGGCAGGUCAUUAUAAUAGUCCAGUCAUGACUAAACCCAAAGAAAUGGAAAAUGUAUGGAGUAAUUUCCACAAAUCUGAUGCUCUCCAUGCGUCAAGUGUUACUACACUAUUCUCAAGCUCGUUGCCUGUUCUUCCACAUGAGAAACGUAAGUUUUUCAAUGCCAACUGUCUAAUAUUCUUCGUCCCUUGUAGUGUUAACUGAGAUCCUUUCAUUCUUAAUUGUGACACACAGUGAACGCGGUUGACAAUGGAGUUGCUAUUCAAUCAGUAGAUGAUAUCGCGUCUCACUUUAAGAACAUCAACCCGGGUCCAGAGGGGGAUGAUCCGAUUGAAGACAUUGAAACUCAUGCAAUUGGCAGCUUGCUUCCUGAUGAUGAGGAGGAGCUUCUAGCUGGUAUAAUGGAUGAUUUAGAUCUGAAUGGCUUGCCUAGCUCUCUUGAAGAUCUGGAAGAAUAUGAUCUUUUCAGUAGUGGAGGUGGAAUGGAGUUGGAAACAGAUGCUCAACAAAAUGCUAGCAUUGGUUCCUCAAGGAUAGGCUUAGGCGAUGGUGUAGUUGGAAGUGUGGUACCUCCUUAUACCUUUUCAAAUGGUGUUGGAACGGUUGCUGGAGAACAUCCUUAUGGAGAGCAUCCUUCUAGAACGUUGUUCGUGCGUAACAUUAAUAGUAAUGUUGAAGAUUCAGAACUGAGAGCUCUCUUUGAGGUGAUGCAUUUCGUGUAAUAUUAUUCAAAAUCCUGUGUCAAUUUAUCAAUUUUAUUUGUGACACAACCUGAUCAGCAAAUUCAUACUUGAAUGUUUCUUAAAAUGCCACAAUCUAGAGAUUUAUUUGUGUAUGCAAGGUCUACUUGGUGAUUUCUUGAUUGACUACUUGAAUUAUGUCGUACAACUAACACUGAUAGUUAAAGAAGCCUAUUCUAUUGGUACGCCUGCCUUUUAAACUAACAGGAGAGCAGAUGAAGAAGAGUUGAUUAAAACUUAUGUAGUAUAAAUAAAAAUCCUAAUAUUAUACUUGCCUAUAGGUUUCGGAAUUAGGAUUGGAGUGAGGAUUAUCGCUGUUCAGUGAAUGAUAGAAAUAAAAGUAAGGGAACAUUGUCAUUCCCAUUAUGAAAAUAAGGGUCUCAUACAGUUUUUUCCUCGUUCUUUUAAUACACGUCACAUGGAAGCAAUCUGAUUUGUUGAGUUUUUUAUAUUGCCAAUGUUGUUGUUGUGCUUCUCCUUCUCUUUCCUAUUUAUCCCAUCUUUUUUGUUUCCUUUUUCCUUCUGGCUUGCAGCAAUAUGGCGAUAUUAGGACUUUGUAUACUGCUUGUAAACAUAGGGGCUUUGUGAUGAUAUCUUAUUAUGACAUCCGUGCUGCUCGAACUGCUAUGCGCUCAUUACAAAACAAACCACUGCGGCGGAGAAAACUUGACAUUCACUUCUCAAUUCCCAAGGUGUUGAACACAUAUUUAACCGUUGAUUGCUUACUCAACUUUUGUUUGGUUUCUUAGUAUUGAAUUCGUUUCUUUGGUUUCUUAUUCUGUACAACAGAAUAAUCCAUCUGAGAAAGAUAUAAACCAAGGAACCUUGGUAGCCUUUAAUUUGGAUCCUUCAAUUCCCAAUGAAGAUCUUCUUCAAAUUUUUGGGGUCUAUGGUGAGGUCAAAGAGGUGAUUGUUUGACCAACCCUUCUUGUAUAUCUAUUGUCAAUUUAUUCCAGGUUCUCUCGAUUUAUGAUUAUUGACAUUCGACUAUAUGGUACUCAUUUAAAAAACAGAUAAGGGAAACUCCGCACAAGAGACACCAUAAGUUUAUUGAAUAUUAUGAUGUUAGAGCUGCGGAAGCAGCACUGAAGGCAUUAAAUAGAAGCGACAUUGUUGGUAAACGCAUAAAACUAGAACCAAGUCGCCCUGGAGGAGCUCGUCGAAAGUGUGUAUUUGAGACCAUUAAUUUCUAUGUUUUCUUCCUCUUUUGUUAUGUUAUCUUUCCAUUAAGUUACACUAUAUUAACAUUGCCUUUUAAAUGAAUUCAUGUCUUGGCGUCUAGUGUAUUGUACAAGUACAUCUUUUUUUUUUUUGGGGGGGGGGAGGGGGUGCGAUAUUGGUUGCUUCAAUACGACGAAGGCAUUGAAUCUCACCGAUCAACUUAGCUGACACUGUGUGUAUACUGUUUCUCCAAAUAUUAUCAAUCCACGUUGGCUGUAUCCAAUCAGCUUGAUGGGAAUUGUUAAAUUUAGAUGGCGUGGAUGGUACCCAACAGUUAUUAACCAAUCUAUCAUAUUCGUUCUUUGCCUUUUGUGUUUUAAUAUUUGCGUUUUGUGUUUUAAUAUUUUUUGUUUGAAAUUGGCUAAACUUUCUUAUGCGCUUGGGGACGGUGGAAACUAUGAGCUGUUGGUGUCAUUCUUAAGUAGUGUGAUGUGUUUCUUGGAAUCAUGUUCUCUAUUUUAGAGAUUGUGUCUAAUUCAUACUUGAUAUCAAUAUUUUAUUUUACUUUAUUCUUAUUUGAUUCAUUAUUCCGUGUCAUCUUAAUCCCCCCAGCUUAAUGUUGCAACUCAAUCAAGAACUUGAACAAGAUGAUUUGUGGAGUUUCCGCGCUCAAGUUGGUUCACCAAUUGUCAAUUCUCCGCCAGGUAGGGUACUUUCAAACGCUUCUGUCAUCAUUUUUACUCAUUUUACCAUAAUAUAUAUGUUCUUUUUUUUUUAAAAAAAUCAUUUCCACUAUCUUUGUAUAUGUGACAGGUAAAUGGAUGUCGUUUAACGGUUCAAUUAAACCUAGUUCCUUGGGAAGUAUCAGUAAAUUUCCUAGUUUUACACCCAUAAGCCCAACGGGUGGCAACCAUUUGCCUGGAUUGGCUUCAGUUCUUCCUAAAGCAACAAGAAGUACUAUGAAGGUUCCUCCUAUUGGCAAGGACCAAGGAAGGGGUAACAAUAUGGAGCAUCCAUAUUCCAUCACAAAUCCAUUCAAUACCUUUCAACCAUCCCUUUCAUUUCCGGAGCCAAAAUCAAGACGGUAUAAUGAGACUAUGGCCUCCUUCAGACCUCCAGCGUCAAGUGGGUCAAGUUUGGAAACGUUAUCCGGUCCACAAUCUUUAUGGGGAAGUCAGAAUUCAUACUCAGAGUCCUCUAGUUCUUCUGCUUGGUCGAGAUCGUAUGCAAACCAUCACUUCUUAUCUAAUGGAAAUGGUCUGACACUUCCAUUUCCCAGCCGGCAAACUUCUUUCUUCAGCUCAACUCCAAAUGGCCACUCGCAUCAUGUUGGAUCUGCUCCAUCAGGCAUACCAUCGGAGAGGCACUUUGGGUAUUUCUCCGAGUCACCAGAUACCUCAUUAAUGGGUCCUGGGGCAUUCAGAGGUUUAGGUUCUAGUCCGCAUGCUUCUGUCAAUAGCGCCAGCACCAUUCCAAGAAACAUGUCUGAAAUUCACCCUUCAAGUUUUCAAAUGAUGUCUUCAUCCAUGCUGAACCCGAUGAUAUCAGGUAGUGUUCCAUACCUGGGACUGCUACCAAACAGCCUGGAUGGUUUGAAUGAGCGUGGCAGAAGCCGAUGGAUCGAGAAUAAUGGGAAUCAGCUUGACAGUAGAAAGCAGUUUCUGCUUGACUUAGAUAAAAUUAAGGCUGGGGAAGACACUCGAACAACCUUGAUGAUAAAAAACAUUCCGAAUAAGUAAGAUACAAAAGAUACAGCUAGUUUCACGCUGCCUUUGUUUUUUUUGUUUUUCCCUUCUUUCCUUUUUACUAGUCAUAAGUAUGUUCAAAUGGUUCCCUUCCCACAGGUACACGUCAAAAAUGUUAUUAGCUGCCAUUGAUGAAAAUCACAGGGGUACUUAUGAUUUUCUCUAUUUGCCAAUUGAUUUUAAGGUAACUUUAGACUAUCCUUUGAGUUGGUAUUGAACUAAAACCAAAACUUGUCCCUUUUUUUAGCUACUUUACUCCACACAAAUCCAACUCGCUGUCUGAAUUGUGCAGAAUAAAUGCAACGUGGGCUAUGCUUUCAUUAAUAUGCUGUCUCCUCAACAUAUAAUAUCCUUUUAUGAGGUUAUUAUUAUUGUUUAUACUACUUGACGAGAUAUUUUAGAAUGUUUCUACAUUGAUGUUAGUUAACUUGGGUCUGCAGUCUACUAAGUAUUUGAGUUCUUCUGCACAGGCUUUUGAUGGAAAGAGAUGGGAGAAGUUCAAUAGUGAGAAAGUUGCUUCAUUGGCAUAUGCUCGAAUCCAAGGAAAGGUGGCUCUCGUGAGUCAUUUUCAGAACUCUAGUUUAAUGAAUGAAGAUAAGCGCUGCCGUCCCAUUCUUUUUCACUCAGAGGGCCCAGAAGCUGGAAAUCAGGUCCAAAAGUUAAAAUAUAUCUUAUUCAGCAAUGCUCAAUUUUAUCUUGGUUAUUUGUGAACAUGAUAGAACAUUUAGUGCAGAUAAACUCACUCUUCAUCCUUCAAGUUCUGGUGAUAGUUUUUAAGCAUGGUUGGAACAUAUUAUAUUGAUCUGUGUUGGUUUUCUUAUUACCAUUAUCAUUUCAUUUUGCAGAUUCUCCAUGAUCAUCUGCCUCCUGUCAAUUUGGGGGUCAAUAUCUGGGCAAUGAACGGGUCACUUUCUAGUGAUUCUUCGGGAAGUCCCCCGAAUUAUGGCACUAGUGAGAGGCCUGAUAAAUGCUAAACGCAAUGUCGCCCUCAGCCUUGGUCUUUCACGACUGAAUGUUAACUCAAGUAAAUACUGAAGUACAUAUGUCAGGAACAAGUGGAUUAGGAAGAACAAACAUAUGCAGAUUUUGUUUUUAAUGUGGUUUCUGCAGUGUUUUGGUAGGAAGAUGGUAUGGAAAUGGAGUAGGUGGAAUCGUGUUGGUUGCUGUACUCAUCAAUUGCAACCCGAACAGUCUUCGGUCUCAGCUGACCGUUGUGUUUAUGCACUGAAUUGUUUCAUGAUUUCUCCUUCAUUUUUGAAGCUUCUUUUUUUGCCUUCCCCCUGAAAUGUUGGGUUGAGAAAUGGCGAACACAAUGUAUAUACCACAGGCUAUUGUGUUUUUUUUUUGGUUGGGAAGCUUUGAGAGGAGAAACCACACAAUUGUAUAGUGGCUGGAUCAGGAUGGAACCUUUUACAAUUUCCUUGUGUUGAAAAAACUUGUUUCAGCUUUUAAAAUACAAGUUCAAUUGCUUGUGUUUUAUGACAUUUGGCUAAUGCAUUUUCCAAAAUGGAGAAACUUCAUGUCUUCAAGUUGGAGAUUCAAAUUUUCUAUACCUCAAAAAAAUUCAUUGACCAAUGUAUUUCGUUUCUUUAUUAUAAAGGCAGAAAAUGCUUUGGGUAGCUUGUCUUGUUAUGUUCUACCACCCAAACAAAAACAAAAGUAUGUAUUUCACUUUAUUAAUGGAAUUCACUUCUGAAAAGUAAGAUUAUAUUUUAUUAAUAGGGAAGAUGAGUAUUACUUUACUAUUAACUAAUCUAAAACGGAAACAAAAAUUCAAUUUUCAACUUCGAAACAUUAAAUUUGUCCCAAAUUUUACGAUUUUUCCAUUAAAAAACUCUCAUAGAAUAUUAUCGUCGAGCUAAGGAAUUUUUUUUCUUUCAAAUGCCUCUAGCCACUUUAAAAUUAAAAAAAAAAAAAAAAAAGGUUCAAACUAUGUCACUUGCAUGCCAAUUUGGCAAAUAAAUCCUCCAAUUUAGUUCAAAUCACAUCAAUUUGAGUUUCAGUAUAUUAAUUUUUUAGAAUUUUAAAUUCGAUAUUUCUAUGCAUGCAAUACUAGUUAUGAAUAAUACAAUUUAGGAGUAGAUUUCUUAAAUCAAAAGAUAUCAAUUCAUAACAUAGUGUCAACAAUAGCAAUAAAAGAAAAAGCUAAAUAGUUAUCAUGAAUCGAAUUGGUAGACAACACGUGGUUUCAGGAGGGGAAUGGUAAGGUUGAUAUGAGAACUUACAGAAGUCCAACUCGGAUUUUCUUUUCCAGAGAGAGAGAAGAAAAACCCAAAUGUAUUUUGAUAUUUAUCCUCUUCCCAUGGGUUUUCCAAACCGAAAACAGCGACCAAUGAGAGAGCGCGUGAGAGAAUUUGGAAGAAUAAAUAAUAAAUUUUGUUUUAAGAUGAUGUAAAUAAUAAUUUAUAAUUAAAAGAAAAAGAAAAGGAUAUAUAUAUAUAUAUAUAUAUAUUAUUUAUUUAUUUAAUAAUAUAAAUGAAAGAAGAGAGUAUCGUAUGGAGUCGAGAGGAAGCGUAGACAAUGAUCAAGCUCCUAGCUCCUUUACCGCGAAGUUGCACGUGUCAAAGAGCUGUGCUUAGCUGGUUCCAUUAUCCACGUGGCUUCAUUCUAUCGGUCCAACCAUUUUACAAUUACCCCCAUCAAAGCCGUCUAUAAGUCCCCAAACUCUACGUUUUUUCUCUCUCUCACCAUUCCUCCAAUAUAACUUUUUAGGGAGGGAGAGAGAGAGAGAGAGAGACGGAGGAGGAAGGAGGAGAGGAAGAAGAAGACGGACUCUGUUGCUUCUUCAGGUAUUUUGAUUUUCUUCUUCUUCUCUCUCUCUCUCUCUCUUUCUAUCUUUUACUUCAUCUCCGGUUUCUCUUCUCUCUGCUUCACUUCAAUUUCAUAAUUAUGUCUGGUCAAUCAACACUCUGUUUCUCUCUCUUUCGGUUCUUGUUGAAUGAUUGUUAUGCCUUGCCUUCAACUUAUCUGGACAUUUCUAGGGUUUUAACUUCACAGAGUUUAGUUUCCAGUUUUCUUUUUCUAGUUCUUUACUCUCUUCCACCAAAACUUGCUUUGGUUGACUUUAAUUGCUGUGAGGUUCACUUCAUGACUUCCAAAUUCUUAUCUCCUCUUGAUUUCCGUUUUCAAUUUUUCCGAUACUGUGUCCGGAAUUUGUGCGGGGUUUCGCUAUUCGAGCUUGAAAGAUUUUGAAUAAUUCAACAUGUUUUUUUUUUUUACUGCUGUUACUGUUUUACUUCUCUACGCGGGAGUAAGUUAGUUCUUCGAUAUGAAUGUUAAUUGUUAAUAUUGUUUCUGAAUUUUCUUGUAGUUUAAUUUGAAUUUCUUGUUUCCUAUAUGUUUAGAUUUCAUUCACGCGUUAAUUGUUUAUUUAUUGCUUAAUUGAUUGUUAAAUUUUUUGGUAUUUCAUUCUUGCAUAAAUUCUGUACUAAGAAAAGGGUUUUUUUUUAACACCUUAAGGUUUUGGAUUUUUCUUGUGAAGAAUCAUGAUCGUCACUUUCUCACGAUGCUUUCGUGCCAUGCUGCAGCAAGUUUUUGGAUUGUUGACAUUCUUGUAAUUAAAUGUUUACUUGUUGCUACCCCUUUGAUGUUUCUGAUUGCUUUGGGUUGAAUGUGAAAUGGCCUUGAGCUGUGAUGUACUUACAAUUUUAUUUCCCUUUCGGAGUGUUACAUAUAGACUUUUUUAUUGGGGAGCACAUACAAAUUUCAGAUGGUUGCUCCGUCUAUUAAUAUGUUAGAUUUUUAUCUUUGGAUACUUACGUCUCGACUUUUGUGCUCUACAGUUGUGUUUUCCACUGAUGUCCUUAGAUCAACAUAGUGGUACAUAUCAUCAAAAGUACAGGACAAAUGCCAUCAAUAAAAAUGAAGGCCAAGUUAAGCCCGAGCUGUUUAAGAGAAAAACAUUGUCUGCGUGUUUGUCAGAAAUCUAGUGUCAUCUCUAAGAAAGAUUGUACCCACCUGAGGGGUUCUGAAGAGUCAGAUGAAUUUGAUGGCUGUAUUAGAAAAUGUCUGGAGGGUUAGUAACUUCUAGCUUCUUGCUUUGUUAGUAACUUCUAGCUUCUUGCUUUGUUAGUAACUUAAAUGUUAUCUUAUUUUUUUAUUUCACAAUAUAUUGCUGAUUACGUUCAUAGUUUGUGGAAUGCGUCAAAAAGAAACGGUGUAAUUCACCAGAAUUUUAAACAAAUACAUCGGCAUAAUCUUAAUUUCCCAUCAUAACUCUGAGUGAAGAAUCACAUAUAUUGAGAACUAUAGCUUAAUUUCCCAUCAUAACUCUGAGUGAAGAAUCACAUAUAUUGAGAACUAUAGCUUCUUAGGAAGGAAAAGUACUGCUGUGGUUUUUCCUAUAUUUUGAUACCAUUUAUGCAAAAAAAGAAAUAUGAUGUUAUUUUUCUCUCUAUUGAAUUAUUCUGAACUAUUUUUUUUUCAAGAGAAUAGUAAAAGUUUAUUUUAGAUCUUGGAGCUGUUCAAUAGUUUUUUUCUUUCAAGUUACCCUCUUGCUUCACUUUCUCCUCCCCCUCCCAAUUUUAUAGAAGGAACAACAAUAUUAUUGAGCGAAGAAUAAAAAGAAAAUUUCUCAGAAAAUCCAACUACUUAUCAUCCAUUGCCAAACAAUAUUAUUUGCAUUGCUAUAUUUUUUUUUUUGGUGGGGGGCGUACUGAUACUUGUUUCUUGUGCAGCUUCUCUAAACACAGAAUCUAUUAAUAGCAAUAUAAAUCAGAAAGCCAUUAAUCACCAUGAAGCUGUUGACGAAGAAACUUCUGAAUUGAAGAGGCACGGAGAAACUUUUGAGUUGAAGAGGGAAGAACCUUUUUCAGUAAAUGCUGCAGAUAUGAAUGGAAUGGUAUGAAGUGGUCUUUUUUAAAGGAUCGACUGAAAAUACAUAUUUUGAUACUUCUCUAGAUUGUGAGCUCACCCUUCAUGUGAGCAUUGUUAGUUUCUAGAUUAAUAUGCAAAAACAAUUUGUGUAGUGCAGUUGUAUAAUAUUGGAGUGAGGGCUUUGAUCCUAUACUUUGGGUAGGGAAAAUGUGGAAUCCCUGCCUAGUAUCAUACAUUGACUUUACCACUCAUCUUGUUUGUUGCGUCAUUUAUUAGGUGCAGUUUCAAGGUUUUAUUUUUAGUAUAUCAUUGUGUAGCACCAUUCUUAGUCUUUCUUUUCUUUCAAAGACUAUCUUCAUCAUUUUAUUAUUAUUAUUAUGACAUUUUUUUUAAAAUUUUACAGGACUGCACCUCAACCAACUCUUCUGAAAUAGAAGCCAUUUUUUCUCCUAUUUUGAAUAAUGUUGACAUCCAAUGCCAUCCUAUUAUCGAACAUGAUCCAGGUACUGCCUAAGAUUUAUGGACAUUAACCUGAGAUGGUUACUUGCUAAUUUUUUUAUCACAUGUUAAUUUUUAAGAAUGUAGGAGAUAGGAGCCACAUGUAAACAUUUGUUAAAAAUAUAUUCAACAUAUCAAGCAUUCAAUCACGUGCUCAACAAAUCUCAGACUUGUUUUAGUUGUUUGACUAGCUUUUAACAUGUACCUACUGCAAUGAAUAAAUCUCUGACAUGCAAGUAUUAGAAUCUUCGAUUCAAGUCAAGACACAUCCCAAACCAAAGUGCCCUUGCCUACUAACAUCGUCAGGUCAUCUCUUGGUCAAAGGUUAUGUUCUACAAUUUUGUGUUAGGUCUACAGAGAACUCUAUCCUUCUGUCUUCAGACACAUCAUACAUGUUUCCUCCUUCAUGUGUUUUACUAGCCAUUCUUAUUUGUUGUCCCUUCCCUUGAGUUCCUGUCCAAUCCAAACUUAUGUAGGAUCCAACAAAUUAUUUUCUCGUGGUUAUCAGAAAGCUUUUAAUAUCUAAGUGGGCUAUGUAUUUGUGGAGUUGAAAGUUGGUUUGAAAUUUGAAGAAAAAUUCUCCCAACCAUCCUGCUGUUCUUGUGACCUCGAAGUUCAUGUUUUCAUUUAUUUGAUGAGUGUUGUCUUUGACAUAUUUCUUAUCUGUCUGUCUGGCUUAUGUUAUGUAGGGAGCAAACUUGAUAGAGAUAUACCAGGAAUGGAAAUUGAUGAAGGGAAAAAUAGCAGAAGCUCACAUGACAGUCAAACCUGUGACAUAUCAGAUUUUUUUAUUUCUGACAUGAUAGUUGCAAAUUUACCUUUAUGUGAAAAUGAUGACAUUUGCGACAUCAAUUAUUUUCAUGACUACAAAUAUACUCAAUCGAGUGUAUUGUCUGAUGUUGCUGAUCAGUAUAUGAUACUGCCUUUCCUUGAGGACACCAUGAAAUUCAGCAAUUCAGAUGAUGCUAAAUGUUCUGAUGAAUCAGCCAUUGGUUCUGGUAAUUCUAGCUUGUAUAGAGUUAUUGAUCAAAGGAAUAAUUUGAGCCUUGAAUUCAGUGUUAGCUCAGAGUCAGAUCAGACAGAGUGUUUUGAUCCCCAGUUGUUCAUAAAAAAUUUACCAGAACUUUCAGAAGUGAUUUCGAACUUUCAGCCCAGCAUAUUGCCCAAUGAAGAUCGGAAACGAAAGGCUGUGACUCUUGUACUUGAUUUGGAUGGUAAGUGUUUUUUAUUUUAUAUUUUUCUUUUUGAGGAUUUGAAAUGUUACCACACUUUAACAGGAACAAGUCUUGAGGAUUAGGUUAUGGAACUUAUGCCUGUACUGCAUUCUGAGAAUUAUGGUAGGAAUCUUUCAAAAUCUCAUGAUUGUAAUCACCAAUGCAGGAAUUUGGUACUCUUGUUCUCUCUAUCUCCCCUGAGUUUUCUUACCCUUUUUCCCGCCCCUAUUUUGUGCAUGCAACCCACGGAUCCUUUCCUCCCACUGAGUACCUCAACCAUCUAACAGGCUCUUUAUGACUCUACCAGUAGUUGACAACUAAUUAACUACUAUCUCAACUUCCUAUUAUUUUAGGCCUUGCAUGAGUAAAUUGUAUAGGUGGAUGACUUUGUUAAUCAGAUUAUUAACAGGCAUUUAACAUAUCUAAAUCUAUAUGUAAGAUGCAGAACUUAAGUUUAAUUUCUAGUGAAGCCAUUUAAAUAGUUUGUUUGAGUUUUGCUUAGAUUUCAAAUAUGUUUUUAUGGUGAUUAGUUUACUUUUAAAUCUUUAUUUAUCGUCUAUCUGGAGUGUAAUGUAAACGUUUUGUAUAUUUGCAGAAACAUUAGUUCACUCUACUUUGGAACCGCAGGAUGAUGCAGACUUCCGCUUUACUGUCUGCUUGAACAUGAAAGAGCACAUUGUAUAUGUUAAACGGAGGCCAUAUCUUCAAAUAUUUCUGGACCGUGUUGCAGAGAUGUUUGAAGUUGCUAUCUUUACAGCCAGUCAAAGUAUUUACGCAGAACAAGUCCUCAACAAACUGGACCCGGACAAUUGUAUUAUCUCACGGCGACUUUAUCGUGAAUCAUGCAUCUUUUCAGAUGGAUGUUACACCAAGGAUUUGACAGUUUUAGGCAUUGAUUUAGCAAAAGUUGUCAUUGUAGAUAAUUAUCCACAGGUACAGCCCUUAGCCUAGUGUUUUGUGAACUUCCAUGUGGUUGGACUCUGCAACUCCUUUCUCUUUCCUCAUACUUUUUUUAAUAACUUAAAGUGGAUACACUAUGAGGUUGAUAACUGAUUUAUAAGCUGAAGUUAAUGUGAGUUUCAAAUGGUUGAAUGGAGAGAUUGGUAGGUUGAACAACAACUAUUUAUGUUUUAUUGUUGAAGAUUCUUAUUAUUUCUUUUGAGGUCAAUAACAUGUGGGGUGAAGAUUCCAACCAAUCUUUCGGUCAAGGAUUUUUAACAAGUUGAGCUAUGUUCAAGUUGGUUUGAGUUUACAAAUGUUGAAGUAGGACAUUGAAGACAAAAAAAAAAAAAGAAAAAAAAGAGGAACUGUGUCCUUGAGUUCUAAAGCAUGUCUUUGUUAAUUUCAGGUUUUUCGAUUACAAGUGAACAACGGUAUUCCUAUUAAGAGUUGGAUUGAUGACCCCUUGGAUUCUGCUUUAAUUUCAUUGCUUCCAUUUCUGGAGACCCUGGUUGAUGUUGAUGACGUGCGCCCUAUUAUUGCCCAGAGAUUCGGUAACAAGGAAUAAGAGCCCUUCAUAUUUCUUAUUCUGUUGUUCUUGAGUAUGGUGGCUCCUUGUCCUCUCUCUUUUUCACUGCAAAAUUAGCUUCUGAUCUUUAGAUGCUUAUCUCUCUCUCACCAUUGAGCUCAAAUUAACUAUUGAAUAAACUUGUUUGUCUUUCUUUGUUGAGUCAGACCUAGGUGCUUGUUUACUUUCUUUUUUCUUUCCUCUUGCUGACUAAAGUGUGCUUUGUCUCAUUUUUUGGGUGAAGUUAGGUCUAGGGAAUGUCUCUUUAAUUUUAUUGUACAGUUCAUGUGCGUAGUCAUAUAUGAGAAAGAAUGUAUAUGAAUUUUAAUAUUGUGCAAAAUAAUUCUUGCAGGCUGUUGCUUUCUCUCUUCUCUGCUUUUCUCAGUGUUAUCUAAUUUUAUCUGGUAUUUUGGAAUGCUUUCUUUUAAUUAUCGGAUUUAAAUCUUUGUCCAUUUCAUUAAUUAGAAUAUGGAACCUCAGACUUGGAUCUUCUCUUUCUUCCAUCUGAUACUACAUAAGGUAACUGUGUCAUUAAUUUUGAAAAUUUUACCACGUCAUUUAUACUUGAUGUAGAGUCAGUUCCUGAAAUAAGGAUUCUAUUAGUAUUUAAGCUGUGUAGAAAAACUGAAAACAACAAAUUCUGAAGUGAGCUGCGUAAAAAGUUAGGAUUUGUCAUAUUUCAAAUAGUGGAAACUUGGAGCUAUUGAGCCUAAUGGUUAGAGCCGUUCGUUUCAAUCAAAUUGUCAAGAGUUCAAAUUUGAAUUCUCAUGCAUAGUUAUUAGCUUUAUGGUUGUCAAAUAUUUUAAAGCUACAUGGAAGUUCCAUAAUAAAAUUUGAUAGGUCAAGGGGUUUGGGUGUAUUAUGGAGAUUGAGAGGUUUAUAAUUGAUUGGUGAAUGUUGCUACUCAAGAAAAAACAAGAAAACUAUCGCAGAGCAGACCACUGAACGUAUAUUAAUCUCAAUCAAUUGAUAAUUGGUGGAUUUCUUUUUGACACUUUUGGCACUUUGACAGUCAUGCUCUUAGGACAUUAUCGUAUGUGACUUUUCAAUUGAUAGAGAAUUGAGAUUAAUGUUAAGAGGUUUCAUGCUAUGAAGUAUGUUCAGUCUUAAUAUCUUCACCUAAUAGUUACCUGGAACAAACUAAAACGUUGCCUUUAUUUUUUUUAUUAUUGUUCUUUAUCUAGUUUGUACUUUAUGUUGGGGUUGAAGCAUGGACAUAUUCAAGUUUAAUGCUGUUCUUUAUUUCACUUCUAUUAUCUUUUUAUUUACAAGUCAUGACUAAGUUAAUUUGAUUCCUUUAACGUGUUCUUUUCAUCUUACUCAUGCUUCAUACCAUAUUGUUCCUGGUUGACUCACUCUUGUGUUCUACAUGUUCAAUAAUUCUGCAGCGUUGUACCUUAUAGAUGGAAAUGGGUGCGGGGGGUUUUACUGAUAGCAAACCAGGCUUCCUAUUUGGAAAAUUGAAAAAAAAAAUGAAAUGAAAAGAAAAAGAAGUAAAGAAAAGAAAAGAAAAGAACAGACAAGAUAAGAUAAAAGAAAGAAAGAAAAACAUAGAGAGGUGGGGGAUCCUGCCUGAUCAAGGCUUGCUAUGUAAAUUGCUACCAACUUGCCUAGCAGCACAUCCUGGGCAGUUCAACCAAAAGAAAAAGAAAAAAGAAAAAGAGAGAAAAAAUGAAAAAAAAAAAAGAAAAAAAAAAGAAAAAAAAAAAGGAGAAGAACGAAGAAGAGAACUCCAGUAUUGAAGAUGAUGGUACCUAUUUUCUCUUAGUAUAUUAUAUUUUGCAUGAUGCAAACAUUUAUGAACAUGCGAAUCUUUGUUAUUCACACUUUAUCUGCUAUACUAUACCAGUUUGUGAAAUUUUCUUUAAAAAAGUGUGGAAAUGAAUAUUGCUUCGAUGUUAGGUGAUGUAAGUUAAAUACAAAAGGAACCUAAUUUAUAUAUAGGACAAAUGCAUAUUAGCUGCUAUUUCCGGCUUGAUACACGCAGCUGAUCUUGGUGAAGCAGCAUCGAUGAGGACGAAAUCCCUGCUCGUAACUUUCCAUUACUAUUUCAGGAAAACAUUGUCCCAGCUGAAGGAAUGCUUUAAUAUAAGAAGGGAUAUUUCUUGAUGUCUUUGGAUUGCAUGAUUUAGCAUAUUGAUAGAUGAUGAGUGCUAUCCUUUAUGCUAUAAGACUUUGUGUGGUUUCUCUGCAGGUCGUUUGAAGGGCCAGUUCUAAAUUUCUGCAUAUGGAAAAAUGUUAGGUACGCUGAAUUCUUUCCUUCCUCAUAAUGAUUAAAUGAAAUUCUCUUGAUAGUUUAACCCUUCCAAGGACUUGUUUGGAAUAACCUUUUAAGUGCUUAAAUACAUUCUUCCACCUAAAAAUUGUUAAGCACCUAAAAAGUUAUUGCAAAUAUAUCUUAAAUCUAUUUUAUUAGCUUUUUAUCAACGUUCUUACUGUAACUGCAACAUGUGUUACCUGUGGUGUACAUAAGUAGAUGUUCCUCACGCUCAACUUAUAAGACGAGUAGUUUAGCAGAACGGCUCUCUUUGUAAUAUUCUCCUUCUCUUAGGACUCGAAACUCUCUUACUUUUUCUAUGUGACAUAUUGUUUCUGUGACAGAUUGUGCAAUUUUAUUGCAUUUGUACCUCUGAACUCUGUACGAUGGAUGGAUACAUACAUACAUUUAUUAUUUAUAUAAAUAUAUAUAUAUAUAUAUAUAUAUAUAUAUAUAUAUAUAUAUAUAUAUUCAACUUUUUUGAAUGGAUGUCCGUUUAUGUAAACAGCAGCCUGUUGUAGGAAAACUGAUAUAUUGCUCAUUAUCUUUUCCUCCUUGUGAUGAGGAGAUUUUCGAAGAUCUAAGGUUUAAAAAUAUAAAUGCAUUCUCAUGAGCAAAUCUUUCUGUAAUGAAGGCGAAAAUUUUCUUUUCUGAACUGAAUUACCUGAAAAUGAAUAUGAAUGCGUAAUUUAUAUUUUCAGAAGAGUGAGUCUACAGAAAUGAAUAUGCUUAAAGUUGGAAUAUCAAGUAAUGACGAUGGAUUUCUUCACAGAAUAAUGACAUUUUAAAAGUUUUAUUAUAAUUCAAAUAUUGAAAUGAUUAUAGGAAGGAAAGGUUUUGAUGCUUCGAUUAGAUACAAAGAAGGUCUUAAUGCAGAGAGGCAGGGCCAAGGCCGAAGUUGGAGAACGAACUUGACAAGUGCAUCAUAUUCUAUCCAUCAAUUUCUUCAUAUUGUACAUAAACUUUCAUCUUUUAAAAAGCGUUGUUCUCAUCUUUUUAAAAAAGUGUUGUACUUUACUCUUUAUGUGAUAUGUUUUAGUUCGAAAAGUUGUUAGAAAAAGGUACUUAUAUGUACAGUUAGUGAAUUAUGAAUGUUAUGCAAUUGGUAGGCUUCAACAUUGUACCUAGAAAGAAGAAUUCUAAUGCGACAUUUGUGUAGCAAGUGAAUUAGCAGAAUUUUAGUAAAUUAGAUCAGAAGUUAAAUUUUUUUUUAAAAAAAAAACUUCAACAAGGUAGCUUUUUAAGUAAGUUAACAUCAACAUGAGUAUGCUCAGUUUUUUAAGAUUGAAGGCUAAAAUCUUCAUGCUGUACGUUUGUUCCUCUUUUUAGUAGUAGUCCGAUUCCAUGAUUGUAUUGUUUGAAAGUUGUGUACAAGACUUCAAGAAUAAGCCUAGUCUGAGAACAGAACUUCCAAAACCUCCAGUUUUGUUACAUUUCUUAAUUUUAACUGUCAUCUUCUGCUUGUAAGAAAGUUGCUCCUAUGUCUUAUAAUUUAUGUUUCAUCUUACAUUUUUCGUGCAAUACCAAACUUUUUCUGGAUUUAUUCUUGUAGAGAGUUUGAAGAUCUGUAUUUCGUUUGAGAGAGGGUGAGUUAGUCUAAAAUUUAGACGGUUGAAAAUGGAAAAUCAAAUCGCUUAUUUUGUACUCUCCAAAUAAUCUUAGAGGAACACCAACCCAAAAAAGUAGAACAAUAAAUAAUUUAAAAGGAAAAAAUUCCGAACUUAGAGAAGAAAAUUUGAAUAUUAGUGAAUAAAUUUUACAUAAUUAGACUAGUUUAGAUUGAAGCUGGAUUGGAAAUAACUCAAAGAACAUGAGAUUUUUUCUAUUUUAUUAUUUUUUUUUAAUAUAGGGAUGAACAUGAACUAAAUUGAAGAACAGAGGGAAUAUAUGAUCCUAAAAGUAGAUAUUAGCUAGAAAUUUAUUCUAUCGCUAUUAUAGCAGAAACCCUAGCGUAAUUUCCUGCCAUUUCCCCCCUCUUUUCUUAAGUAAUAAUUAAACUCUAAUUUCUUUCCCCCGAGUUCCCCGUAUCCUUUGUGUAAACGUUACAAUAAAAGAAAAAGAAGAAAAAAAAUAAUCUAAACGCCUUCUCGAUCUGCAGAUUGUAAUACUCGAACAGAUCCGAGUUGUUUUCUGCUUCAUCUUACAUGCAAUUUGCCAUAAGAAGUGACCCCAAGAAGACAAAUGAGAAAAACCCCGUCACCGGAAUCGCUGAGCUCGCUGUGUCUGAUGGUUCUGAUCCGUAACCGCCGAAGUCGUUCGGUGGGGUAUCGGUUGGCGGCGUAUCGGUUGGCAUCGUGUCGGUUGGUGUUGGGGUUGUUAUGGUUGGUGUUGCCGGUGGCAUUGGAGUUGGAUUCAUUGGUGGAUUGAUUGGUGUUGUUGUGCUGCGUUUGUAUAAAGAUGUGAGAUGGGAUUGUUUUCUUGUUAUACUGAUUUGGAUUCAUACAUAGGAAGGAAGUAUUUUGUCAUUUACCUCGGUGUUGACCUUGAUGCUCCGUAGUGGCAAUUUCCACUGCCUGCAAUCGUUAAGAAAAUAGUUGUUUAUAUUUCAUGUUGAGGAAUGGAUAUCUAGUUUAUCAGGAUGCUGGGAUGUUCAUAGUUUUAAAUGAAAUGAUAGAGGAAGCAUCAAUCAUGACCAAAUACCUACUAUUGUAUUUUUUCUGUUUCUCUUUUCAGUAUUUGAGAUGGAUUAUUUGCCUAUGUUUUUGUUAUGAUUCUGAAUUUUAAAUAAACUUGAAGUGAUGAUCUUUCUUACUGGGGUCCGUGGUGGUGAGCUGCGCCGUUCCCCCAAACACGCAGCUUGUAGGUGCUGGAUUCUUCUGGUAGUAGUCGUUAAAGGCAUAAGAAGCAUGGUCUCUCAUGGUGUUGGGCUCAAAGCAACUACCUCCCGAUUGAAUCGCCGAGCAAUCCGCGCCUCCAUAGCCACAAGCAUAAUCUAUAGCUACCUGCAAAGCGGUUGGGGAAGCAUUUGGGCUUGCUAUGCACCAACUUCCACCACCUGUGGUUGUCGGGGUUGUUGGGGUUGUCGGGGUUAUGGUUGGUCCGGUAGGGUUUGUUUGUGCUGGCGGAUUAACAAUCGGCGUCUGGGUCGGAGUUGUGCCACCUGGGGUGGUUGGAUUCACAAUGGGGAUUGUGUCCAGUUGAUUGCUAGAUGUUGAAGGUGAAAAGUAGGGUAUUUGUUCUUCUUGAUUUUGUAGAACAUAGUCAUCUUGGUUUGCUUCAAAGAACGGUCUCUGUGCAAUACUUGAACCUGAAGGCACAAAAAGCAAAGGUCAGUUCCUUCAUGUGAAAAGGUGAAACCUCUUCUUGUUGUGAUUUUCUUAUAAUACAGAGUAACAUACUAACAUCUUAUGUUUGGUUUUUCUUUUCUUUCUGAUAGGACAACCAAUAGAAGAAAUGCAGGAAGAUGAGCCAUAGACUAGCAGAAAUAACAGGUACAUGAUGCAUUUAUUAUUAGAAGAUUAGCUUAAUAUCAUCGUACAGAAAAAAAAUCAACUAAUGCUGAUUUACCUAGACUGAGGAAAACCAACAAUGAAAGUAAUGCAAAAUGGAGGUGAAUACAGGUACCCAUCUCUACAAAUUACUCCCAAUGUUUGGUUCUGGAUCUUCAAAUGAUUUUGAACAAUGAUAGAGACCAAAGAUUUGUGAAAAUCAGAGGUAUGUCAAAUGUGUUUGUGUAAAGAAGAAUUACCCUUUUUGGCGGCAAGCAAUAUAUACAAGUAGCUGGGCGACAGAAUCUAAGCUUUCUUGGAUCAUCAAGAGUCAGAAAGAAGGGUAAGAGAAUAUGAGGAAACUUGAGAGAGGAGGCAUUGUAUAUUUGAAUAGUUGGGAAGUGCAAGCAAGGGAAGUUUUAAAAAUUGGAAAAAGGUAUAUGGAGAAGGAAAGGCAAAAUAUAUCUGCUACGAACUCAAACCUGAUAGGUGUUAGAAUAAGGUAUGAGGAGAAGUACUGAUUCUGCAGUUUUCGUGUGGUGGCAUUUCCCCUCCUCUUUAGAGCUUCUCUUUUUACUGUUUUUAUGGGUACUGAAUCAGAAAGUUAAAGGUAGGUUUAGGCUAUGGUUUAUAGAUUUGUAUGCACAAGUUGCAUCUUCUAGUUUGUGAUCAAGAAUAUUGUCCCCUGGAGAAUCUGUUUAAGUCCCAAAGCUCACUGCUCUGCUACUUAGGAAGCAAAACAGGAAUCAAAUCAUUCUCUCUCUUAAUCCAUCGUCUGUAGAAGCAUUUGAUUCCCUCUUUCACAAACAAGCCCACUAAUCCACUCAACUGAUAGAUACUAAUUAUAUUACCAGUAGUGCAGCAAACAGAUGCCAAGAAGAUUCGGCUAUUGGCAUGAUCUCUAUUUCAAUCGGUCGGAAGUUCAAUUUGUCAUAUUUAGGUCUUUUUUAAUUUUAGUGUAUUUU